UCCCUGGUAGUAUAUCGGUUAGUACACGCGCCUGUCAUGGAUCUUCGACGCGCGAAAGCUGGGUUCGACUCCCAGCCAGGGAG